rnacentral:rRNA from 1 species
AAGUCUCUUCGGGGAUGAUUAAACCGGCGCACGGGUGAGUAACACGUGAGUGACCUGCCUUUUAGACUGGAACAACUUACCGAAAGGUGAGCUAAUGCCGGAUGAGUUAUAUAAGUGCAUGUUUAUAUAGGAAAAGUUGGGGAGACCUGACGCUGAAAGAUGGACUCGCGUCCCAUUAGCUAGUUGGUAGGGUAAUGGCCUACCAAGGCGACGAUGGGUAGCCGGCCUGAGAGGGUGGCCGGCCACACUGGGACUGAGACACGGCCCAGACUCCUACGGGAGGCAGCAGUGGGGAAUUUUGCGCAAUGCUCGUAAGAGUGACGCAGCGACGCCGCGUGAAUGACGAAGGCCUUCGGGUCGUAAAGUUCUUUCGACAGGGAAGAAAAUGCCUAUAAGUAACUGUGUAUGUAUUGACGGUACCUGUAUAAGCAGCCCCGGCUAACUCCGUGCCAGCAGCCGCGGUAAUACGGAGGGGGCGAGCGUUGUUCGGAGUGACUGGGCGUAAAGAGCACGUAGGCGGUGUUGUAAGUCAUUAGUCAAAGACUAGAGCUCAACUUUAGUAAGGCUAGUGAUACUAUAAUACUAGAGUAUCAGAGAGGAUUGCAGAAUUCCUGGUGUAGCGGUGAAAUGCGUAGAUAUCAGGAGGAAUACCGUUAGCGAAGGCGGCAAUCUGGCUGGAAACUGACGCUGAGGUGCGAAAGCGUGGGUAGCAAACAGGAUUAGAUACCCUGGU